UGUGGUGCUAGCUGGAGGAGGAGAUUGUGGGGCAUGCACUACUCCCAAGAGCUUUGGUGGAUGGUCGAGUCUUCUAAGUAGGUGCCCAACCCAAGACAUCGAUGGUGGUAUUUCUAGAUCUCUUGUGACAGAGCAUGCAGUUUGAGAUAAUCAGAUAGGUCAGUAUUCAUACUAUUUUUAUUGUCCAUUAUAUCUGAUUAUUCAAGAAUAACUUUAUGUUUAACUCAAGGAGUCCUGUUAGAUUCAUCAUGGAGAGAGCUCUAAGUCAAGCUUUUG
rnacentral:lncRNA from 1 species